CGACACACAGGUAAACAACACGCCCGUACACAGGUAAACAACACCCUUUAAUACAGGUAAACAACACGCCCGUACACAGGUAAACAACACCCUUUAAUACAGGUAAACAACACGCCCGUACACAGGUAAACAACACCCUUUAAUACAGGUAAACAACACGCCCGUACACAGGUAAACAACACCCUUUAAUACAGGUAAACAACACGCCCGUACACAGGUAAACAACACCCUUUAAUACAGGUAAACAACACGCCCGUACACAGGUAAACAACACCCUUUAAUACAGGUAAACAACACGCCCGUACACAGGUAAACAACACCCUUUAAUACGGGUAAACAACACGCCUGUACACAGGUAAACAACACGCCCGUACACAGGUAAACAACACCCUUUAAUACAGGUAAACAACACGCCCGUACACAGGUAAACAACACCCUUUAAUACAGGUAAACAACACGCCCGUACACAGGUAAACAACACCCUUUAAUACAGGUAAACAACACGCCCGUACACAGGUAAACAACACCCUUUAAUACAGGUAAACAACACGCCUGUACACAGGUAAACAACACCCUUUAAUACAGGUAAACAACACGCCUGUACACAGGUAAACAAUGAGAGAACUAAGAAUGCCAAGAGUGUGGAAAGCAGGAAUCAAAGCUAAGUGUGGAUAUUCUGAAAUAUAAACAUGCUCUGAUUUAUUUCACUCUUUGUUUCCUCCAUAAC